AACGAACGCUGGCGGCACGUUUUAAGCAUGCAAGUCGAACGGCAGUGGGGGCAACCCCAUGAGAGUGGCGAACGGGUGAGUAACACGUAGGUGAUCUGACUGACGGAUGGGGAUAGCCUGUGGAAACACAGGGUAAUACCGAAUGAGCUGACGGGGCUAUGGCCAAGUUAGUAAAGGCGCUACGGCGCCGCCGACAGAGGAGCCUGCGGCUGAUUAGCUAGUUGGUGGGGUAAAGGCCUACCAAGGCGACGAUCAGUAGCCGGCCCGAGAGGGUGUACGGCCACACUGGAACUGAGACACGGUCCAGACUCCUACGGGAGGCAGCAGCUAAGAAUCUUCCGCAAUGGGCGAAAGCCUGACGGAGCGAUGCCGCGUGAUCGAUGAAGGUCGAGAGAUUGUAAAGAUCUUUUCCAACUGAGGAAUAAGUGGAUCAGGGAAUGGGUUCAUGAUGACGUUAAGUUGGGAAUAAGCCCCGGCUAAUUACGUGCCAGCAGCCGACGG
rnacentral:rRNA from 1 species